AGCGAGGAGGGUGGCGGGCAGUUAACGUGUGCCCGUGAGCGGUGACAGGGCGAGGGGCAGGUCUGUCUAUGCUGCCUCCUCUCCAAGCGGAAACUCAAGGCCUCUGAGAAAUCGAAAUUUGAGCCUAGUCUUUCAGGGGAAAUCAACUUACCAACACCCAUUUACCAACUGAGAGGGCAAAGAAGCAUAGACUACUGCCAUCGGCAAAAACAUCAGCACAAGAAUACAAUGUGGAAGAUUUAAAGCUAAGGCAGAGAUUUACAUCAUCUAAACCUGUGCUUCUCAAACUUUGGGAAGCAUCAGAAUCACCUGGAAGGUAUUUAAUGACUGCUGGCUCCACUUUGACUUUCUUAU
rnacentral:lncRNA from 1 species